rnacentral:tRNA from 1 species
UCCCUUGUGGCUCAGACGGUAAAGUGUCUGCCUACAAUGCAGGAGACCCAGGUUUGAUCCCUGGUCUGGAAG